GGAUGGUGAGUGAACAGAACUAGUGUGGCCCUGAUAUUGGCAACUUUGAUGGGGAUGCACAGACCUCAGGUACUCUCAGUGAACCCAGGGACACAGCAGGAUACAUGGUGAGGAAAACAAGGCCGAAAAGUAUGGUUAGGUCACAGAAUCAUACAACAAAUAGGAGGAAGACCUAUCUGCAAGACCAUAAGCCUGGCUUUUUCCACUGAACGUGUAACUGGUCCUGAAGAAUGUGUAAUCAUUUCACCUACGUGAUCCCUUUCCAGAAUAAGAGGCACAUAUAGCAUGGUGGUGGACUCCUGUCAUCCAUUGGGGGAUGAGGAUGGGAAGAUCAGAGGCUGAAGGUCAUCCUUGGCUACGUAGAAAGUUCGAGGCCAGCCUGGGCUACACGAGACACCAUUUAAAAAACAAAAAUUAAAAUGCUUUGGACUCUCUU